ensembl:lncRNA
GGAUGAGUUAUGCUCAGAAGUUUAAUAUUGGUGAAACACAAAUUAAAAAGAGCAAAUUAGAAUCUUCAAAAAACAUGCAAUUAUGAAAUGAGCUUUUUUUGUUGUUUAUUUAUCUUUUUUACCUCAAAACAAUGUAACCGGUAAGAAAACAUGCAAAAGAGUACAAAAUCAUUCACUCAUAAAUAGCGAGUACAUCAUAAAUUAUAAUCAAAUAUUAAUAAUAAGAGAGGGGAGGAUAAACUAAUCCAUAAAAGUUAAGUGAAAAAAAAACAGUCAUAUCUGAAAAUACACAAUCUACAGUGUUUAUCAAAUCAGAAAUGUAUUUAGUUAUCAUAGCAGAGCUGCAGCUCUCUGAUAUUGAAUUAUGAUAAAAUACUGUAAUUAAUGAAUCGUCUUAUUAACAGGCUCUACAGCACUCAGCUGUCUCUCUGUAAGUCUGAGCAGAUGAACACAAACACUGGAGAUGCUGUACAGUGCUGAUAUUGAGAGGAUUUACAGAACUGAUCUGCUGGUAUUGCGGUUUUAAACAACUGAUGACUAUAAUAUUUCAUUAAUACUGCUGCAAAAUAUGUUUGGCAUGUGUUCUACCUGACUGGAAACAUUGGCACCGGAAAUGAGCAAGUUUAUGAGAAAUUUAAACCUUUAACCCCAUCCUGAACCCUGAAUUAUAAUUAUAAAAUAAAUAAAUAACCCUGAUUAUAAUUAUUUUAUAAUUAAUAUAAUUAUUAAUUUCUUAAUUUUCAAACAUUAUUUUGGCAGAAAAACACAAGGAACCCUUAAAGCUCCUUUUUUUGCAGACAACAGCUAGUUAAUAAGUGCUUCUCUUAAAUUCUCUUUUGUUGACAUAUAUUUAAUUAUUAAUUAAUUUUAUAAUCACACUAAGCCAAAUGAGACCCUGCACCACAAAACAAGUCAAAAGGGUUUUUGAAACUGAGAUUUAUACAUCCUCUAAAAGCUGAAUAAAUAAUCUUUCCAUUGAUGUAUGGUUUGUUAGGAGGACAAUAUUUGUCUGAGAUACAACUAUUUGAAAAUCUGGAAUCUGAGGGUGCAAAAAAAUCUAAAUAUUGAGAAAAUCUCCUUUAAAGUUCUCCAAAUGAAUACAUAGCAAUGCAUAUUACUAAUCAAAAAUUAAGUUUUGAUAUAUUUACGGUAGGAAAUUUACAAAAUAUCUUCAUGGAACAUGAUCUUUACUUAAUAUCCUAAUGAUUUUUGGCAUAAAAGAAAAAUCGAUAAUUUUGACCCAUACAAUGUAUUUUUGGCUAUUGCUACAAAUAUACCCCAGAGACUUCAGACUGCUUUUGUGCUCCAGGGUCACAUAUCUCAACGGCCUUCCUCAAAUGAGUUUAGAACAACACAAGGGUGAGUAAACCAUGAACUCUCUCAUUAAAUGUGGCCUAUGAGCUGUGAUUUACAUGUAAACGUGGUGUGUCUCAUGUCCAGCGGCAGCGUUUCCUCUGGCACGUCUCGAGCUCUGAAGAGAAGUCGUCUGAGUCACUCUCAGAGGCGGAGUCAGGCCAUAAGGAGGCGUGGCCUGAUUGAGUGUAGGGGGAGCAUAGAAUGCAAGAACCACUGUGUUCCGGUUUACACACAGAACUGGCAUCAUUUCCCUUACAGCCGUCACUGGAAACAGACAGCGGCGAGUCGCAGCAAGGACAGGAAGCAGAUACCUGGUCAAAUUUAGGGUCAGGAAGGGAAUUGUGGUCAGGGCUGGAGGCGGAGCCACAGUAGAGGUCAGAAGGUGAGGGGGAAUCAAGGUAACAUGUAACAUCCAUUACAGAGACGGUUUCUUGAUAUUGUGCAUCAUCUGGACAGCAAGCAGGAUAUAUGGAGGCAGAAUCAAGAGGCUCAUCUUUACCGCGGUAAGAGCCACGGUUAUCAGAGAAGGAACUAGAAAUAAAGACGCGUUCAGUGUCAGAGGGAUUGUGGGAAGGAAAGGGGCUCAUGUAUUCAUCAUAGUCGCCAUCUUCUGUUUGUGUGGCUUUGUCUUCCCUGUUGUGUGCGCAGGCGUCUGCGCAGCCGAGGGUCAGCACCCAUCCCAGCUGCUUAGACAGCAGCAGACGCAGACCCGGCGGCAGCGGCAGCACGCGCAGAGCGUCUGCGCAGUUGGGCAGCAUUUUGCGCAGCUGCAUGCAACACAGGUACUGUAAUGUUGUGGGCCCAGAAUGUGAACGGAUCAGUUUCAUGCUGCUCUUGGCCGCAGUCGAACACACCAUCGGAUACAGACGCUUAUUCUGCAAACAGGAGAUGUCAUCUUGAUUUCCCAGAAGUGCUGUCCGUCGCUGAGAGGCUUGGCUCCUCUGAUGGCGGCGGUUCCACAGCUGUACUCCGAGUGGAAGCUCACCUUGCGUUCAGAGCAGCUCAGAGUCACCGAGGAUGAUUUGCUCUCCUCGUCCCAAACCCAAUCACAUCCUUAACACGACAAACACAAAGAACCAUGAUUUCCAAUCUGAAACUUUCCUACUGUACUGUACCUGACUGUUUAUAAGUAGGUGGAUUUUUGUGAGUUAAUGUUUUUCUAAUCGUAUAAAAUCGACAGUGUGUUGUCUGUUAAGUCAAAAAUGUAUUUAAUUGAAAUAAAUUCUCAUUUUGAAAAAUUAUGACUGUUAUAAUUUCUGACCGUUUGUAAUGUU